GAUUAUGGCUCAGGAUGAACGCUGGCGGCGUGCUUAACACAUGCAAGUCGAACGGACUUUACAUGAAGCCUAGCGAAUGUAAAGUUAGUGGCGGACGGGUGAGUAACGCGUGGGUAACCUGCCGUAUACCGGGGGAUAACACUUAGAAAUAGGUGCUAAUACCGCAUAAGCGCACGUGAUCGCAUGAUCGAGUGUGAAAACUCCGGUGGUAUACGAUGGACCCGCGUCUGAUUAGAUAGUUGGUGAGGUAACGGCUCACCAAGUCGACGAUCAGUAGCCGGCCUGAGAGGGUGAACGGCCACAUUGGGACUGAGACACGGCCCAAACUCCUACGGGAGGCAGCAGUGGGGAAUAUUGGACAAUGGGGGAAACCCUGAUCCCAGCGACGCCGCGUGAGUGAAGAAGUAUUUCGGUAUGUAAAGCUCUAUCAGCAGGGAAGAAAAUGACGGUACCUGACUAAGAAGCCCCGGCUAACUACGUGCCAGCCGCGGC
rnacentral:rRNA from 1 species